rnacentral:rRNA from 1 species
UAGGGAAUAUUGGACAAUGGGUGAGAGCCUGAUCCAGCCAUGCCGCGUGCAGGAAGAAGGCGUUAUGCGUUGUAAACUGCUUUUGCCAGGGGAUAAAAAGACCGUGCGCGGUUAAUUGAAGGUACCUGGUGAAUAAGCCACGGCUAACUACGUGCCAGCAGCCGCGGUAAUACGUAGGUGGCAAGCGUUGUCCGGAUUUAUUGGGUUUAAAGGGUGCGUAGGUGGCCCUGUAAGUCAGUGGUGAAAUAUCUCAGCCUAACUGAGAGGGUGCCAUUGAUACUGCAGGGCUUGAGUACAGAUGAGGUAGGCGGAAUUGACGGUGUAGCGGUGAAAUGCAUAGAUAUCGUCAAGAACACCGAUAGCGAAGGCAGCUUACCAAGCUGUAACUGACACUGAGGCACGAAAGUGUGGGGAUCAAACAGGAUUAGAUACCCCUGUAGUCCCUGAGCGGGCUGGCAAGGCGCAU